CGGCCGCGGUAUCCUGACCGUGCAAAGGUAGCAUAAUCAUUUGCCUUUUAAUUGGAGGCUAGUAUGAAUGGGUAGACGUAGAUUUAGCUGUUUCUUUACUAUAAAUAAAACUUAAACUUUAGGUGAAGAUGCCUAAUUUUUAUAGAAAGACAAGAAGACCCUAUAGAGUUUUAGUUAAAUAUAUCCCUCUAUAAUAUUAUAACUUUGGUUGGGGCGACCUAGGAUUUUAUUAAACAUCCUAUUUAUUAUAAGAUAAAUUUAAUCUCAUUUAUAGACCCUAAAACGGAUUAUCAAAAUUAACUACCUUAGGGAUAACAGGCUUAUCUUCCUAGAGAGCUCUUAUUGAUAGGAUGGUUUGGCACCUCGAUGUUGGCUUAGA
rnacentral:rRNA from 1 species